rnacentral:tRNA from 1 species
GAUUAGCUCAGUUGGUAGAGCAUGAGACUCUUAAUCUCAGGGUUGUGGGUUCGAGCCCCAUGUUGGGCA